GAGUGUUGUAUGGAAACCAAUUUGACAAUAAAUUUCAUAUUUAAAAAAAAAAAGAAUAAAGUGAAAAAAGAAACCAAAAAAAAAAAACAACAACAAAUUCAAAGUUGACCAUUAUUGCUUAAAGACCUGAAGAAGAGCCUGAGGAAACAGAAUGCCUCCACCCACCACCCCACUCACCUCUGAUCCAGGAUCUUGCUCCUCUCCUGGCUCACUGCCCUGUAUAAAUCCACCUUCCUUCUGAAGGCAAUCUCAGCUGGUGUCCAGCCCAUCCCUCCUCUCUCUAGCCCUGGCAACUUCUAGCUAGUCAUACCUUUCAUCCAUGAGGUUUUGUUUUCUUUUCCUUCUUAAUUAGCACACCUGGAGGUUUAUAUGUUUUAUUACUCUUUACAAACAACAGGACAUUUGGUUUAGUUGGUCAUCUUUUUUUCAUUUUUAUUUCACCUGAAAAUUUUCUUGCUAAAAUUAACACUGGUCAAUGUUAAUGACGUGUAGCCAAUGACGUGUAGCCAAUCCAGUGAUUUCUUUUCAUUCCUUAUUUAACUUAACCCAUCCAAAACGUUUAAUAUGACUGCCUGUUCCCAUAUUUGUUAACUUUUUAAUUGAAGUAUAACAUACAUACUAUAAUAUGCACAGAUUCAGGUGUACAGCUUGAUAAUUUUUUUUUUAAGUUAGCAUGUGAACAUACCCACAUAGCCACUCCCCAGAGCAAUAUACAGAUAUUGCUUCCUAAUUGUUGAGGUGCAUUGUUCUUCAGAAAGCUCUGGUCAACCUCUGCUAAGACAUUUCCAGCCAGAAUCUGCCUCUUCCUUCAAUCCUGCAGACAUUUGCAUAAAGAUCUGGAGGACCAAUCACUACAGAAACGCUUAGACAAGUCAACUUCAAUAACUUCACCAAAGGGUAUGUGAGGAUUUUUAAUUCCUAUUUAAAGAGUUGGGAAAUACACAAUUCAGAUCACAGUUGUCUUAACAAUAAAAGCAGUAAUGCAUAACUCAUUUGAAUGGAGCCUUUGUGUUUAUGAUAACCCUAUGCUUCCCCUCUACAAUGAAAUAAACAUGCUCCCCAUCA